rnacentral:rRNA from 1 species
GUGUGCGAGUCAUUGGGUAUAUUGUUGAAACCUAAGGGCGCAAUUAAAAUAACUAUUUUAUGGGAUUACAAGUGAAUUAAAUUUCAUUUCUUCAUCCCGGGGCGUUCUAUACGAACAUGAUGCAAGCAAUUGAAUCCUCUGUUCAAGAGCGUACCUUGAGCAUACAUGCUGUGACCCGAAAGAUGGUGAACUAUACCUGAUCAGAUCGAAGCCAGGAGAAAUUCUGGUGGAGGAUCGAAACAGUUCUGACGUGCAAAUCGAUUGUCAGAAUUGGGUAUAGGGGCGAAAGACCAAUCGAACCAUCUAGUAGCUGGUUCCCUCCGAAGUUUCCCUCAGGAUAGCUGGCGCAAAGAAUUAUAUUGUAUAUAAUCUUAUCUGGUAAAGCGAAUGAUUAGAGGCCUUGGGGCCGAAACGACCUCAACCUAUUCUCAAACUUUAAAUGGGUAAGAACCUCAUCUUUCUUGAUCUGAAGAUAUUGGGGUUUAGAUAUAUUGUGCCCAGUGGGCCACUUUUGGUAAGCAGAACUGGCGCUGUGGGAUGAACCAAACAUGAUGUUACGGCGCCUAAAUUAAUGACUCAUAUUGAUACCAUGAAAGGCGUUGGUUGCUUAAAACAGCAGGACGGUGGACAUGGAAGUCGUAAUCCGCUAAGGAGUGUGUAACAACUCACCUGCCGAAGCAACUAGCCCUUAAAAUGGAUGGCGCUCAAGUCAUAUGCCUAUACAUCAUCGCUAGAAUAAAAAUUGUUGGCCAUUCGGUCAUCAUUGUGAAAUUCUAGUGAGUAGGAGGGUACAAUGGUGUGCGCAGAAGUGUUUGGCGUGAGCCUGCAUGAAGCCGCCAUUGGCACAGAUCUUGGUGGUAGUAGCAAAUAAUCGAAUGAGAUCUUGGAGGACUGAAGUGGAGAAGGGUUUCGUGUGAACAGUGGUUGAUCACGAGUUAGUCGGUCCUAAGCUUUAUGCGAAAGCUGUUUAAUUUAUGUUACACACAAAAUUUUUGUUGUACAUAAUUCAAUAAAAGCGAAAGGGAAUACGGUUCCAAUUCCGUAACCUGUUGAGUAUACGUUUGUUUAUUAAAAAUGGGUCUUAUUACACUCAUCCUGGCAACAGGAACGACCAUAGAGAAGCCUUCGAGAGAUACUGGAAGAGUUUUCUUUUCUGCUAAACAAUCGUACCACCAUGGAAGUCUUUUAUAGAGAGAUAUGGUGGAUGGCUUGGAAGAGCAUGACAUUUACUGUUGUGUCAGUAUUUUCUCCUUGGACCUUGAAAAUCUAUGGUGGGGCCACGCAAACUUCUCAACAGACCGUACCGAUAUCCGCAGC